GAUGAACGCUAGCGACAGGCUUAACACAUGCAAGUCGAGGGGCAGCACAGGGCAGCAAUGUUUGGGUGGCGACCGGCGCACGGGUGCGUAACGCGUAUGCAACUAACCCAUCAGACCGGGAUAGCCCGGCGAAAGUCGGAUUAAUACCGGAUGCAACAGAGGUCUCGCAUGGGGCUUAUGUUAAAGGAUUAAUUGCUGAUGGACAGGCAUGCGUUCCAUUAGGUAGUUGGCAGGGUAACGGCCUACCAAGCCAUCGAUGGAUAGGGGUUCUGAGAGGAAGGUCCCCCACACUGGUACUGAGACACGGACCAGACUCCUACGGGAGGCAGCAGUGAGGAAUAUUGGUCAAUGGUCGCGAGACUGAACCAGCCAAGUCGCGUGCAGGAUGACGGCCCUAUGGGUUGUAAACUGCUUUUAGACAGGAAUAACGUGAGGUAUGUAUACUUCAGUGAAUGUACUGUCGGAAUAAGCAUCGGCUAACUCCGUGCCAGCAGCCGCGGUAAUACGGAGGAUGCGAGCGUUAUCCGGAUUUAUUGGGUUUAAAGGGUGCGUAGGUGGGAAAUUAAGUCAGUGGUGAAAGUUUGUCGCUCAACGAUAAAAUUGCCAUUGAAACUGGUUUUCUUGAGUAUGCUUGAAGUAGGCGGAAUGCGAGGUGUAGCGGUGAAAUGCAUAGAUAUCUCGCAGAACCCCGAUUGCGAAGGCAGCUUACUAAAUCAUGACUGACACUGAAGCACGAAAGCGUGGGUAUCAAACAGGAUUAGAUACCCUGGUAGUCCACGCAGUAAACGAUGAUUACCAGUUGUUUGCGAUACACAGUAAGCGACAAAGCGAAAGCGUUAAGUAAUCCACCUGGGGAGUACGCCGGCAACGGUGAAACUCAAAGGAAUUGACGGGGGCCCGCACAAGCGGAGGAACAUGUGGUUUAAUUCGAUGAUACGCGAGGAACCUUACCCGGGAUUGAAAUGCGCCUGAAUACGGAUGAAAGUUUGUAGUCCUGUAAGGGACAGGCGUGUAGGUGCUGCAUGGUUGUCGUCAGCUCGUGCCGUGAGGUGUCGGCUUAAGUGCCAUAACGAGCGCAACCCUGAUUGUCAGUUGCUAACGGGUAAUGCUGAGGACUCUGGCGAGACUGCCGGCGUAAGCUGUGAGGAAGGUUGGGAUGACGUCAAAUCAGCACGGCCCUUACAUCCGGGGCGACACACGUGUUACAAUGGUGGGGACAGUGGGCAGCUACUUAGUGAUAAGAUGCGAAUCUCCAAACCCCAUCUCAGUUCGGAUCGGAGUCUGCAACUCGACUCCGUGAAGCCGGAUUCGCUAGUAAUCGCGCAUCAGCCAUGGCGCGGUGAAUACGUUCCCGGGCCUUGUACACACCGCCCGUCAAGCCAUGGGAGCCGGGGGUACCUGAAGUAUGUAACCGUAAGGAGCGUCCUAGGGUAAAACUGGUGACUGGGGCU
rnacentral:rRNA from 1 species